rnacentral:rRNA from 1 species
GACGUAGGGCGCGAGCGUUGUCCGGAUUUAUUGGGCGUAAAGAGCUCGUAGGUGGUUUGUCGCGUUGUUCGUGAAAACCGGGGGCUUAACCCUCGGCGUGCGGGCGAUACGGGCAGACUUGAGUACUGCAGGGGAGACUGGAAUUCCUGGUGUAGCGGUGAAAUGCGUAGAUAUCUGGAGGAACACCGGUGGCGAAGGCGGCAUCCUGGACCGACACUGACGCUGAGGAGCGAAAGCCAGGGGAGCAAACGGG